GACGAACGCUGGCGGCAUGCCUAAUACAUGCAAGUCGAGCGAACAGAUGAAGUGCUUGCACUUCUGACGUUAGCGGCGAACGGGUGAGUAACACGUAAGGAAUCUACCUAUAAGCGGGGGAUAACAUUCGGAAACGGGUGCUAAUACCGCAUAAUAUCUUCUUCCGCAUGGAAGAAGAUUGAAAGACGGCUCUGCUGUCACUUAUAGAUGACCUUGCGGUGCAUUAGUUAGUUGGUGGGGUAACGGCCUACCAAGACGAUGAUGCAUAGCCGACCUGAGAGGGUGAUCAGCCACAUUGGGACUGAGACACGGCCCAAACUCCUACGGGAGGCAGCAGUAGGGAAUCUUCCGCAAUGGGCGAAAGCCUGACGGAGCAAUGCCGCGUGAGUGAAGAAGGCCUUCGGGUCGUAAAACUCUGUUGUAAGAGAAGAACAAAUUGUAGAGUAACUGCUACAGUCUUGACGGUAUCUUAUCAGAAAGCCACGGCUAACUACGUGCCAGCAGCCGCAGUAA
rnacentral:rRNA from 1 species